UGAACUUUUGAUUCUUUUCCCUUCCCAG
rnacentral:piRNA from 1 species